UACAGAGGUCUCAAGCGUUGUUCGGAUUCAUUGGGCGUAAAGGGUGCGUAGGCGGCGGGGCAAGUCAGGUGUGAAAUCCCGGAGCUCAACUCCGGAACUGCACUUGAUACUGCCUCGCUAGAGUACUGGAGAGGAGACUGGAAUUUACGGUGUAGCAGUGAAAUGCGUAGAGAUCGUAAGGAAGACCAGUGGCGAAGGCGAGUCUCUGGACAGUUACUGACGCUGAGGAGCGAAAGCGUGGGGAGCGAACAGG
rnacentral:rRNA from 1 species